AUACGGAGGAUCCAAGCGUUAUCCGGAUUUAUUGGGUUUAAAGGGUGCGUUAGGCGGACUUAUAAGUCAGCGGUGAAAGUUUGCAGCUUAACUGUAAAAUUGCCGUUGAAACUGUUAGUCUUGAGUGUAAAUGAGGUAGGCGGAAUGUGUUGUGUAGCGGUGAAAUGCUUAGAUAUAACACAGAACACCAAUUGCGGAGGCAGCUUACUGGGAUACAACUGACGCUGAGGCACGAAAGCGUGGGGAUC
rnacentral:rRNA from 1 species